rnacentral:rRNA from 1 species
GAUGAACGCUGGCGGCGUGCCUAAUACAUGCAAGUCGAGCGAAUGGAUUAAGAGCUUGCUCUUAUGAAGUUAGCGGCGGACGGGUGAGUAACACGUGGGUAACCUGCCCAUAAGACUGGGAUAACUCCAGGAAACCGGGGCUAAUACCGGAUAACAUUUUGAACCGCAUGGUUCGAAAUUGAAAGGCGGCUUCGGCUGUCACUUAUGGAUGGACCCGCGUCGCAUUAGCUAGUUGGUGAGGUAACGGCUCACCAAGGCAACGAUGCGUAGCCGACCUGAGAGGGUGAGCGGCCACACUGGGACUGAGACACGUCCCAGACUCCUACGGGAGGCAGCAGUAGGGAAUCUGCCGCAAUGGACGAAAGUCUGACGGAGCAACGCCGCGUGAGUGAUGAAGGCUUUCGGGUCGUAAAACUCUGUUGUUAGGGAAGAACAAGUGCUAGUUGAAUAAGCUGGCACCUUGACGGUACCUAACCAGAAAGCCACGGCUAACUACGUGCCAGCCGCCGCGGUAA